rnacentral:rRNA from 1 species
UCAGUCGUGGCCGGCAGGCGUCAGGGAUGCCGCUCUCCAGAUUGGGACGGUGGCCUGGCUGCCAGUUGGGUUGCGGUGCAUUUGCGGGUGGAGUGCGCCGAGGCGCUCGGCUCAGCUGCAUGAUCUCGGCCUUGAGGCCAGCCCCUCACGGGGUCUGGUACCCGGGUCGGGGGAGUGCUGUUUGGGCUGGGUGUUCAGUGUUGGGCAAUGGUUUCGGGCCCGGGUGGGUGCCGAGCUGGUUGUCGGCGGCGGUCGCGUGCGACACGUGCCAGCGGUCAGUUCGGUCCUGCUCGAGCUCACACGUGCCUGGCCUCGGUGUAAAAGCCGGUCAUCUGUCCGACCCGUCUUGAAACACGGACCAAGGAGUUUAGCGUGUGCGCGAGUCAUUGGGCGUUGAAAACCCAAAGGCGCAAUGAAAGUGAAGGUCUGCCUCGCGCAGCUGAUGUGUGAUCCUGGCCACCCCGGUGCGUCCGGGCGCAACAUAGUCCCGUUCCGAUUGCUUGCAAUGGGGCGGAGACAGAGCGUACGCGCUGAGACCCGAAAGAUGGUGAACUAUUCCUGAGCAGGAUGAAGCCAGAGGAAACUCUGGUGGAAGUC